GAUGAAGAACGUAGUGAAAUGCGAUAAGUAAUGUGAAUUGCAGAAUUCAGUGAAUCAUCGAAUCUUUGAACGCACAUUGCGCCCGCUAGUAUUCUGGCGGGCAUGCCUGUCCGAGCGUCAUUUCAACCCUCAAGCCCCCGGGCUUGGUGUUGGGGAUCGGCGAGCCUCCGCGCCCGCCGUCCCCUAAAUCUAGUGGCGGUCUCGCUGUAGCUUCCUCUGCGUAGUAGCACACCUCGCACUGGGAAACAGCGCGGCCACGCCGUUAAACCCCCCACUUCUGAACGUUUGACCUCGGAUCAGGUAGGAAUACCCGCUGAACUUAAGCAUAUCAAUAAGCGGAGGA
rnacentral:misc_RNA from 1 species